rnacentral:rRNA from 1 species
GGUACGAUGCGCCUGAUCCACACCUGAAAGGGUGCGUGUAUCGGAGAGUAUCUGCCAUCCUUCUAGUUGCUGGCUGUACUUAACUGUGUGGUCAGUGUUCUAGAUCAUUUACUUUGAAAAAAUUAGAGUGUUUAAAGCAGGCUCGCGCUAUGAAUACAUUAGCAUGGAAUAAUAAUUUAGGACUUUGCUCCUAUUUUAUUGGUUUCUAGGGGUGAAGUA